UUUCUACUACAAAGCCCACACUUUCCACUUCGAAGGCCACACUUUCUGCUACUAAGUCCUCGAUUUCUGCCUCGAAGCCCACGGUCUCUGCAUCUAAGCCCAUGGUCUCUGCAUCUAAGCCGACAGUUCCUGCAAGAUCUUCCACACCUUCUAGGUCUACAGCAAGAUCUUCCUCACCUUCUAGGUCUACGGCAAGAUCUUCCACACCUUCUAGGUCUACAGCAAGAUCUUCAACACCAACUUCAAGACCCUCCUCUAUCCCUCCAUCAAAGUCCACAUCAAGGGCAUCCACACCAACUCGUCGACCAUCCACACCAUCAAGUGCACCCAGUGUAUCUGCUCC
rnacentral:lncRNA from 1 species